rnacentral:rRNA from 1 species
CACGUAGGGCGCAAGCGUUGUCCGGAAUUAUUGGGCGUAAAGAGCUCGUAGGCGGUCUGUUGCGUCCGCUGUGAAAACUCGGGGCUUAACCCCGAGCCUGCAGUGGAUACGGGCAGACUAGAGGUAGGUAGGGGAGAAUGGAAUUCCCGGUGUAGCGGUGAAAUGCGCAGAUAUCGGGAGGAACACCGGUGGCGAAGGCG